AUAAGCAGCAGUCAGACCUUCCUUCGCCGCCGGAGUGUUGACCAAGUUUGAAAGCCUGACUGAAGUCAGAAGCUCUGGAUGAGCUUUACCUGGAAACCUGCCUGCCUGCCCAAGGAAGCCAAACCUGAAGGUCUUAGCCUGGAUUCCUCCUUCAGCUCUCAGGGGAGAGCUAGGAACCAAACCCACAUCUGAGGCUCACUAGCCAGAAGCUAGACGCUGCUGCUGCUGACCUCUCUGUUACUUCCUCAAUCUCUGGACCCAUUCGGUUCCCCAUCUCAAGGAUCCGUCAGAACCUCUUCAAGAUAUCAGUGAUCCCAGACCCGGACCUGUACCAGAACCAGUCCAUGUUUCUCUGUGCAUCUUCCUUUAAUAAACAUUGUUAAC